ensembl:lncRNA
UUGACCUUCUAGUAUGGAAAUAUUAUUUCAAAAAAUGAAGGAAAAACACAUUUUUAAUUGCACUGACCAUUUUUUUUUGUUACACUUCUCAAAAGGCACCGAAUUGGUGGAAUGACCCAACUGCUAUUUCAGCAGCAGUGCCAACAUUUGCUUUCUAAACAAAUAUUUUUUUUUAGGGGGGGGAGUGAUGAGCAAUGAAAAUGCUUAUUGGAUUUUGGAUACACGUCCAGAGCUACUACGACACAGCUCAGCACAGCAGCCGCAAGAGGCAGCAGCUCAACUUUUUUCCUGACUUGACUUUUGGCUGGUUUGGGUCAGAAUGGCUAACUACUGGUCUGUUCAGGUUUUCUGUGGUGUUUUAUCCACCAUGCUCUUGGCCAUGGGGGCACUGGAUGGUGGGAUGGAAUGUACAGACAAGGACAGAUUACUGACACAGAUAUCCAAAGAUCUGGACCCACCGUCGGAGUGUGUGCUAGGCUGCACUGUACUGACUUACAGAGCCAUGCUGGAGACACAAAAUAUACCUACUGUACGCUUCAAAGACUCUACAGCAGGUGAACAUGGAGAAUACUGCUGGUCCAGGAGAACGAAGUGUAGCCCCGGAGAGAGCCUGCUUCAUGCCUACAUCGUGUUACCUGUGGAUGUGUCACUGGUUAACGAGGAAACCCUUGGAUUGAAAGCUACUCUCCCCCACCAUAACAACAUACUAACUCCUCACGACGGUCCCACGCCACUUUCCAAACUCUGUGGUCUCCGCUUUGACAUCACAGACCAGUUCACCGUGACAAAGAGAUUGCCAAUGUUCUGUGUGCAGGUUGUCCCACAGCAGAGCACCUUGGAAAACGGAAUUCCUAUUAGAUGCCCACCUUUCUUGGUGACGAUGUGGCAGAGGCUGAAUAAGUAACCUACAAAGCAAUGGAGGGGGAUGAAAAGGACUUGUUUAGCCGACGACCAUCCAAAAUGGUUAAUGGCAUCAAGAUUCUCGCUACAAUUGUCACUGCUGCUGAAUGAAAUCCUUAGGGAGGACGACGCUGUAACAACUCACAGUAGGUUAUAUCAUGUUUAUGGAAAAGAAAAAAAGGAUGUCCGAUUCAAAUGGAAAGUCAGUUACAACAACGGAUUGUCCGAUGAAAUACCCAGAACUCUUUGACACAAGACUGUUGACUAAAUGGAGUACUUUCAACCAUGACUUGAAAUGGACUCAGUUUGGAAUGAGAAGAACGUGAGGUAAAUGUAUGGAAGGUGAAAAUUAACCGUUGUAUUUGAUUGAUAGAUAGAUAGAUAGAUAGAUAGAUAGAUAGAUAGAUAGAUAGAUAGAUAGAUAGAUAGAUAGAUAGAUAGAUAGAUAGAUAGAUAGAUAGAUAAGAUAGAUAGAUAGAUAGAUAGAUAGAUAGAUAGAUAGAUAGAUAGAUAGAUAGAUAGAUAGAUAGAUAGAUAGAUAGAUAGAUAGAUAGAUAGAUAGAUAGAUAGAUAGAUAGAUAGAUAGAUAGAUAGAUAACAAUAUCAUUGUUAAUAUGCUGUAUGGAUGUAUGCUUUUGGGUCGAUAGUUGAUUCUAGAUUGAGAUAAUAUUUCAAAUAAUAUGGAUUUGAGGGCUUUGUGUUCAUUUGUGCUCUAUUGUGUGGAGCAAACAUUUGAUGGCACAUAUGUAUAUAGAAUGUAUAAGCUUCUUAUAAGAAAUAUACGUGGCUGCUAAUUUAAGUGUGUGAACACCAGAAACUGUCCUAAAGCACAUUUAUUUCUAUUUAACUUUUAUUAUAUUUACUUUAACUUCUAUUUUUAUUUACUUUAAUUUGCUAUAACACCACACUAAUUGUUUUGAUGUAACCUCUGUAAACUGUGAGCUUUACUAGAAUGUUUUUCCAACCAUGUCAAGUAUCCACAACAUUAAAACAACUUCACAUGAUUGUGUACGUCUGUGAGCUUGCACAAAAAGAAGGCCUUAGUUUUAUC